CGGACAUCUUUUGUCAAGGUUUGUGCCCACUGAAAACUCUUGCUGAGGAUAUGAAUGAUAUUCAUCGCAAACUGAUGUAGCUUCUCAAUAUAUGUACUGUAUUAGAUUGUUUUGAUUUAUAUCAGAUGCGCUAUCUUUUGGUAUGUUCAACCAUUCAGGUUGUGUUACUGUUUCCUAAGUUCAGGUUGGAGGAGUAUGAAUAUUGAUAAUAGUCGUGAUUCUUGUGGAGUAAUUUAUCACAGAGUUCCUUUCAGGCUUAUGCCAUAUCAUCAAUGAACCAUAUGGAUCGAUGUUUUCACCAUGUUUUAGUUCCAUGUACUUAUAGUAAUAGCUGAGAACAUGGUGCAUUUUGUUUAACCAUUUCCUAAUCCACACAGCUUUCAGAAUGCUAACGCAAGUACUUAGACAAGCGCACAUCAGACUUUCAUGGUACGACGGUGCGCCCAUCAAUUGUUAUGUGUUCUACUUAUGUGUUCUACUCUGCCUGUGACAUGACCAUCAACUUCAUUUUACCGCUGGACAAGAAAUGACAUGCAUCUCAUGUCCACGAUCCUACUUAGAAACAAUAACUAUCUAGACUUAACUAUUGUAAAAUAUAAAUGUUAAUAUAUUGUCUAGACUUAACUAUUAAUCAGGGCACACAAUGUUAAUAUACUUCAAAUAUGGCUAAGUUGGUCUUAACUAUUGUAAAAUAUAAAUGGCAAUGAUAAUGCAGACAUAGAUCAUAUUAUUGCAUUACCCUUUUCCAAGAAAAUAAUGGAAGUACGUGUAUGAUCUUUCUGUGAAAUACAUUAUCAUGCUUUUGCAAGUUCCACGUUUUUCAAUUUCAGAUAAAGGAAUUGGAUCUUUCUUGGAGGCUCGGUGUUUCUUAACUGAGGCAUCUGCAGCAAUCUGUGUGUUGUCAGGUCCCAACGGGUCAAAGGAUUCAUCCUCCUUAUUCUGUCAGAUUUGCUUAUUCUUUCCAUGCAUACUGUACGAUCUUGAAAAGGUCAGAUUUGAGAGUACAUCUGCUGAAUUUUAAUUUUCAAAGAUGAUGAAUAUAUAUUGUAUAAUAUAAAUCAAAAUAUCAUAUAUUGAAUUUGUAGUUUCAUUCUCCAUUUCAGAUGAUGUCGUCUUCAGAUGUUGUUGUCUACCUAACCUAUUAUAGUUAUUUGUUCUCAAUCUGUCAUUACUCCAAGCCCAUCUCAAAAGCCUACUUUCUUGAAUUGUAGGAUGGAGAAUAAUACUGCUAUAACAGACGUUGAGGCCAUAAAACAACAUCUACUUACACUUAAGCCAAGACAUGAUCAUGAGGUUUCUUUUCAAUUGCAUAGUUCAUAGUUGGAUUUUUACAAGAACAUUUGCUUCCCUGUUUGGAUGUCGUGAGUCACAACAAGGUAUGAGCUGCUGCUAUGUUUUCUAUAUUCUAUCUCAGUAUUUUUCUUCCCUUAAAAUCUUUGUACAAAUUAUUCCAUUUCAUGUUAGUUGAUACUUUGUGUUUGCAAACAAAGCUCAGACCUAUCUCUCUCAGGGCAUUACUUCCAUACCACACAUGAUUUUAUUUUCUUUGCAGACAUCAACGAUAGGGACCAUGCUAUUGAAUGCAUUAGCUGAUUCAGAUGCCAACGGGGAAUUCUGCGAAGAGACAUUUGUGGCCAAUGUGCAGGUAUGCACGAUAAUGUGUGUGUUUCGCAUUAUCCAUUUGUUAUUGAACCUUUGUCUCUAUUCUGUCAUCAAUCAAAGGCUUCAUGCUGAGAUUGAACCAACCAUGAAAAUGAGAACCGAAGAAAAGAUUAUUAUCUCUUUCUCCCAUCAUUGGGAUCAACCCUUUUAGGCUUUCAGGUUGAGCAGCGACUUUACAUAUAAACGGACCUCCGUAACAAUUUGUACAGUGCUAGGCAAUUGAAGAAAUAUGAUAGCUCUAAAAUGCAUGCCACUUUAUUUACAAUUCUGUGCAAUUAUGGAGCAGAUAUUGAGCCCACAUAGUGCACUUCAUUAUACAACAUAUAACAUGAACGAUAUGUAAUAUUUAUCUGUCAUUACUUGUCUGGCUCGAACUCAGUAGGACAUAUCUUUUCCUGCUCACAUGGUUUCUAAAGUCAGUGACUGGCAGUUUUGGCAACACAUGGUACAUGCGCUCGGAAUGAAGGCCUGGAUGUGCUGAACAGGUUUGGCACACACUACUGGACACACUUGGUUUGAUACUACGUAACCAAAUAGACUCUGGAUUUAACACAAUUCAGCUAUAUGGUCUCCCCAAUUUAUUUCAGAGGGCUACACACUCAUCAAAUCAGUGGAUCAGAUGGAAAUUAUGCUUCUGACCCAGCUGUUAAAAUAUACAAAGCUGCAUAAAUCAACUUGAACAUUUUAGAUGUCUCAUCAAGACCUCCUCAUGUGUCUCUGUUUAUAUUCACCCAUCGAGAUUUCUAUCUAUGUACUUUGCCAAUAUGUGUCAUAUAUAAUGUAAUUAACAAAUGGGCCUACAUAAAACCUUUAAUUGACUGCCACUCAACCAAGCUCUACAGUCUACUAUUUGUUCUUCAUCUUUAAUAAACAAAAAAAUGAAAAAUUUAGAUGAGUAAGAAAACAACUUUUUACUAUUUUAUCAUUGGUUAUCGUGCGUGCAAUUUUACUAGUUUCCUUGGUCUGAAAGCCUUACCAUCAUUUUCUUCUUGCAGGCGGCCAUGGCAAGAGCAUAUUGUGCAGAGGACGUGGAUGAGAAGAAACUUAUGGUUCUCAUUCAAUCUUUGUGGAACUCUCUUUAUGUGCGAUUGUGCAUUUGUUGGAACCUUUUUUCUGUGCACUUGCACAAGUAUUCUGUUGUGCACAUGUAAAAUUAUUUUGAUGUGUCCUUGUUAGGUGUUGAACCUUAAUGCGUGGAGUCAGUGGAUGAUGUAUUGUAUUUGAUGUGAUAUGCUAUUGAAAUGAAAUAUACAUUUUAUUUGCAAUCUUUUAUUUUGUUGUACUUAUUUUUAAUGGGCCUAUCUUGAGAUAUGCGUGCUUCUAGCAAAAAAAAUGCUU
rnacentral:lncRNA from 1 species